rnacentral:rRNA from 1 species
UACGGAGGAUGCGAGCGUUAUCCGGAUUCAUUGGGUUUAAAGGGUGCGUAGGCGGAUUAAUAAGUCAGUGGUGAAAUCCUGCAGCUUAACUGUAGAAUUGCCAUUGAUACUGUUAGUCUUGAGUUUGGUUAAGGUAGGCGGAAUGUGUAAUGUAGCGGUGAAAUGCUUAGAUAUUACCCAGAACACCAAUUGCGAAGGCAGCUUACUGGACCGAUACUGACGCUGAUGCACGAAAGCGUGGGGAGCAAACAGG